rnacentral:rRNA from 1 species
UGAGGGAAAGGUGAAAAGUACCCCGGGAGGGGAGUGAAAAGAACAUGAAACCAUAAACUUACAAGCAGUAGGAGGACGACUAAAACGUCUAACUUCGUGCCUGUUGAAGAAUGAGCCGGCGACUUAUAAGUAGUGGCAGGUUAAAGCAGAGAAUGCUGAAGCCAUAGUGAAAGCGAGCCUGAAUAGGGCGUACGUCACUGUUUAUAGACCCGAACCCGGAUGAUCUAACCAUGGCCAGGUUGAAGCUUAGGUAAUACUAAGUGGAGGACCGAACCGACUGAUGUUGAAAAAUCAGCGGAUGAGUUGUGGUUAGGGGUGAAAUGCCAAUCGAAUUCGGAGCUAGCUGGUUCUCCCCGAAAUGCGUUUUGGCGCAGCGGUAAAUGUUAUAAUUUAGGGGUAAAGCACUGUUACG